AAGGAAUAUUGGACAAUGGACGGAAGUCUGAUCCAGCCAUCCCGCGUGGAGGAAUAAGGCCCUAUGGGUUGUAAACUCCUUUAGCAGGGGAAUAAAAAGGUCAUUUAUGAUCAAUUGAAGGUACCCUGAGAAUAAGCACCGGCUAACUCCGUGCCAGCAGCCGCGGUAAUACGGAGGGUGCAAGCGUUAUCCGGAUUUACUGGGUUUAAAGGGUGCGUAGGCGGACUAUUAAGUCAAAUGUGAAAGCUUGCAGCUCAACUGUAAGAUUGCGUUUGAUACUGGUAGUCUUGAAUAUGGUAGAAGUUGGCGGAAUAAAUCAUGUAGCGGUGAAAUGCUUAGAUAUGAUUUAGAACACCGAUUGCGAAGGCAGCUAGCUAUGUCAUAAUUGACGCUGAGGCACGAAAGCGUGGGGAUCAAAC
rnacentral:rRNA from 1 species